rnacentral:lncRNA from 1 species
AUGAUUUUAUUACAACUAACAGUGCUUGGUUAUCUAAACACAGGAAAAACAUCUUUAAUCAAUUCCAUUAUGAAUAAUAACGUUGUUACAAAUUACAUUCAUACGGAUAUGCCUACGAUUUACUAUAAAGUACACCGAGAUGAAAUGAGAAGCUUUUGUGUUGAAAUAGAAGAUACAUCUGUUGAUAUAGAUAUAAAUAUAUUUAUGGACAUGAUAAGAAAAGAAUUGACAAUUGAUAAAAAUAGUAUAAAAAAUCCAGUUUUUAGUAUUUUUGAAAAACCUUCAAUUCCGUUUACUCCAGAUAAUAAAUACAACUCAAUUAGCUACGGACGAAUGGCAUAUUUUUUAGUAUUCGAUCUUACAAAUGAAGAAACAUUUGAAUAUGUUAAGACAAUUUAUUUAAACAUGUCAAAUAUUUAUGAUAAAUAUUAUUCUCUAAAGCCGUUUAUAUCUCUUGUUGGAAAUAAAUCAGAUUUGGUAAAAGAAGAUUGUGAAUUAGUUAGGCAAGCAGAACACUUCGCGACCGAACACUUGGUACAAUUAUGGCUCGUAUCAUCGCUUACAGGGAAAAAUGUUAAGAAGUUAUUCUUACAUAUGGUUAACAUGGUUUUCAAUAACACGAAUUUGUGGAAAUACGAUAUGGAAGAUUCUGGAUCCGAAUCUUCAGAAAAUUAAAAUUAAAAAAAAAUAAAAUAAAAUAAAAACCUAAGCA